rnacentral:rRNA from 1 species
GACGAACGCUGGCGGUGUGCUUCAAACAUGCAAGUCGAGGGAGGGUUGGCGAGUGGCUUGCCAUUCGUUCAACUCUACCGGCGAACGGGUGAGUAACACGUGGGCAAUCUGCCCUGAAGGACGGGGACAAACCUCGGGGAAACCGGGGCUAAUACCCGACAUCCUCCGACGGGGGGCGAUCCUCUGAGGAGGAAAAGGUCCGCAAGGUCUGCUUCAGGAUGAGCCCGCGGCCUAUCAGCUAGUUGGNGGGUAACGGCCUACCAAGGCUAUGACGGGUAGCCUGGUCUGAGAGGACGAUCAGCCACACUGGGACUGAGACACGGCCCAGAC